CGACGCAACGCGAAGAACUUACCAGGGCUUGACAUCCCCUGACCGCGUAUGAAAGUACGUUUUCACCCUCGGGUGACAGGGAGACAGGUGGUGCAUGGUUGUCGUCAGCUCGUGUCGUGAGAUGUUGGGUUAAGUCCCGCAACGAGCGCAACCCCUACGUUUAGUUGCUUAACGCGUGAAGGCGAGCACUCUAGACGAACUGCCGUUGACAAAACGGAGGAAGGUGGGGAUGACGUCAAAUCAUCAUGCCCCUUAUGUUCUGGGCUACACACGUGCUACAAUGGCCGGUACAGACGGACGCAAAGCCGCGAGGCGGAGCAAAUCCGAAAAAGCCGGUCUCAGUUCGGAUUGCAGGCUGCAACUCGCCUACGUGAAGCCGGAGUUGCUAGUAACCGCGGGUCAGCAUACCGCGGUGAAUAUGUUCCCGGGCCUU
rnacentral:rRNA from 1 species